UGGCUUUGGCUUGAGCCCUCAAAUCCUUGGUCAAACAAUGGGCAUAAAGCACUGAAAUUCCUAAAUGGCUUGAGCCCUAUUAUCCAUACCUUUUGGUUUCAGUCCAUGCCUUUCAGUCAACACAUGUAGUCUAGUCAAAAGCUAUAUCCUCAUGUAAAUCAAGAUUAAAAUAAAAAAUUAAAUCAUGAUUAAUAUAAGAGACUAAGAAAACAGAAAAUACGCAAUUAAGG
rnacentral:lncRNA from 1 species